rnacentral:rRNA from 1 species
AGUGAACGCUGGCGGUAGGCCUAACACAUGCAAGUCGAACGGCAGCACCGUAAGAGCUUGCUCUUACGGGUGGCGAGUGGCGGACGGGUGAGGAAUACAUCGGAAUCUACUUUUUCGUGGGGGAUAACGUCGGGAAACUUACGCUAAUACCGCAUACGACCUACGGGUGAAAGCAGGGGAUCUUCGGACCUUUCGCGAUUGAAUGAGCCGAUGUCGGAUUAGCUCGUUGGCGGGGUAAAGGCCCACCAAGGCGACGAUCCGUAGCUGGUCUGAGAGGAUGAUCAGCCACACUGGAACUGAGACACGGUCCAGACUCCUACGGGAGGAAGCAGUGGGGAAUAUUGGACAAUGGGCGCAAGCCUGAUACAGCCAUACCGCGUGGGUGAAGAAGGCCUUCGGGUUGUAAAGCCCUGUUGUUGGGAAAGAAAAGCAGCAGGUUAAUACCCCGCUGUUCUGACGGUACCCAAAGAGUAAGCACCGGCUAACUUCGUG